GACGAACGCUGGCGGCGUGCCUAAUACAUGCAAGUCGAGCGAAGUUUUUCUGGUGCUUGCACCGGAAAAACUUAGCGGCGAACGGGUGAGUAACACGUAAAGAACCUGCCUUAUAGACUGGGACAACUAUUGGAAACGAUAGCUAAUACCGGAUAAUAGCAUUAACUGCAUGGUUGAUGUUUGAAAGUUGGUUUUGCUAACACUAUGAGAUGGCUUUGCGGUGCAUUAGCUAGUUGGUGGGGUAAAGGCCUACCAAGGCGACGAUGCAUAGCCGACCUGAGAGGGUGAUCGGCCACACUGGGACUGAGACACGGCCCAGACUCCUACGGAAGGCAGCAGUAGGGAAUCUUCCGCAAUGGGCGAAAGCCUGACGGAGCAACGCCGCGUGAGUGAAGAAGGAUUUCGGUUCGUAAAGCUCUGUUGUUAGGGAAGAAUGAUUGUGUAGUAACUAUACACAGUAGAGACGGUACCUAACCAGAAAGCCACGGCUAACUACGU
rnacentral:rRNA from 1 species